rnacentral:rRNA from 1 species
UACGUAGGUGGCGAGCGUUGUCCGGAUUUAUUGGGCGUAAAGCGCGCGCAGGUGGUGCGGUAAGUCCUGUGUGAAAUCUCCCGGCUCAACUGGGAGGGUGCGGAGGAGACUGCCGGACUGGAGGCACUCAGAGGCCGGUGGAAUUCCCGGUGUAGUGGUGAAAUGCGCAGAUAUCAGGAGGAACACCGGUGGCGAAGGCGGCGAUCUGGGUCGAUACUGACGCUGAGGUGCGAAAGCGUGGGGAGCAAACAGG